CCUGUGAGGGUUGCUGGAGGUAUCAGAAGUGCGAAUGCUGACAUAAGUAACGAUAAUGCGGGUGAAAAACCCGCACGCCGGAAGACCAAGGGUUCCUGUCCAACGUUAAUCGGGGCAGGGUGAGUCGACCCCUAAGGCGAGGCCGAAAGGCGUAGUCGAUGGGAAACAGGUUAAUAUUCCUGUACUUGGUGUUACUGCGAAGGGGGGACGGAGAAGGCUAUGUUAGCCGGGCGACGGUUGUCCCGGUUUAAGCAUGUAGGCGGAGGUUCCAGGUAAAUCCGGUACCUUAUUAACGCUGAGGUGUGAUGACGAGGCACUACGGUGCUGAAGUAACAAAUGCCCUGCUUCCAGGAAAAGCCUCUAAGCAUCAGGUAACAUCAAAUCGUACCCCAAACCGACACAGGUGGUCAGGUAGAGAAUACCAAGGCGCUUGAGAGAACUCGGGUGAAGGAACUAGGCAAAAUGGUGCCGUAACUUCGGGAGAAGGCACGCUGACACGUAGGUGAAGUGAUUUACUCA
rnacentral:rRNA from 1 species